CCAAUAGCGUAUAUUAAAGUUGUUGCAGUUAAAAAGCUCGUAGUUGAAUUUCGGGAUCGACGUGACGGUCGUGCCUUACGGGGCAUGAACUGUCGCAGUUGAUUUCUCACCUUCUGGAGAAGCUCGAUGUCCUUAAUUGGGUGUCUUGCGGAACCAGGACCUUUACCUUGAAAAAAUUAGAGUGUUUAAAGCAGGCAUUUUUGCUCGAAUACAUUAGCAUGGAAUAAUAGAAUAGGACGGCAUGGUUCUAUUUUGUUGGUUUCUAGGAUCACCGUAAUGAUUAAUAGGGAUAGUUGGGGGCAUUAGUAUUCAAUUGUCAGAGGUGAAAUUCUUGGAUUUAUUGAAGACUAACUACUGCGAAAGCAUUUGCCAAGGAUGUUUUCAUUAAUCAAGAACGAAAGUUAGGGGAUCGAAGACGAUCAGAUACCGUCGUAGUCUUAACCAUAAACUAUGCCGACUAGGAAUCAGACGAUGUUAAUUUUUUAAUGACUCGUUUGGCACCUUACG
rnacentral:misc_RNA from 1 species